rnacentral:misc_RNA from 1 species
AAGUCGUAACAAGGUUUCCGUAGGUGAACCUGCGGAAGGAUCAUUAACACGUAUCCAACGUUAAACCCCCCGUGAACCUUCAGUGCGCUCGCACAAUCCCUGGUAAAUCAUUGCCGAACAGUUUUGAUUCAGGGACUUCUGCGUAGACUGUGCUUGAGCGUGAGGCAAGUGGCCUGGCAUUCCUCUGCUUGUUGGUGUCUGAAAGUGUCACCAGCUCUGUACGAAUGGCGCAGUCACGAUCGCUAGAGGCCGACACGGCCGGCGACCGGGUCACUGGGCGCGAGCCCCCCUCGUCACCUUUGCAUGAAAACGGGCCUGCGCUUAAUUGUGCGGCCACCAAACUCGAACAACUGUUAACAAUGGAUAUCUUGGUUCUC